GCAGAGUCUCUUCAGCAGGGUGUAUGUCUGCCUGUUGUUUCCAUCUGAGACGAGCUCCUGUCAUGUUGGAUCUGGCUUCUGUGAAUGGCCACUGCGGUCUAAGAGGAAGAAAGAGUAACCAUCUCAAUUAAAUGGUUGAGAGAAGUCCAGGGCUACUCCCUCUGAAUUCCAUGGUUAAAACAGAUCUCAAGAAUGCCACAGAUUCAAUGGCAGAGAACAUAGACUGCCUUGGAAUGACACAACAUCUGUGGCCAGUUUGAGCAGCAACACCUGAACUCCCAGAGCUCCAGUCUCAACUGAACCUGGACCUGGACAGCUGUAACCAACAUUACUCCUCUCCUACAACCUUGUCUAGGAGGUGACCAGAGCUUAACUCUCCAAAGACACCACAGUGUGGCAAUCGCAGGUGAGUCUGUAUAUUCUGGUGUUGUCCCUCUCCUCCUCACCCUUCCUUUUAGCUUCCUAAAG
rnacentral:lncRNA from 1 species